UACGGAGGAUCCGAGCGUUAUCCGGAUUUAUUGGGUGUAAAGGGUCCGUAGGCGGACUUGUAAGUCAGCUGUGAAAGCUUACGGCUCAACCGUGAAAUUGCAGUUGAUACUGUUGGUCUUGAGUAUACAUGAGGUAGGGGGAAUUCGUGGUGUAGCGGUGAAAUGCUUAGAUAUCAGAAAGAACACCAGUUGCGAAGGCGGCUCACUGGGCUAUAACUGACGCUGAUGCACGAAAGUGUGGGUAGCAAACAGG
rnacentral:rRNA from 1 species